CUUGUAGGUAUCUUGUGAAAUCCCACGGCUUAACCGUGGAACUGCAGGGUAAACCACAAGUCUUGAGACAUGUAGGGGUCAGUGGAACCAUGAGUGGAGCGGUGAAAUGCGUAGAUAUUCAUGGGAACGCCAAUGGCGAAGGCAGCUGACUGGGCAUGUUCUGACGCUCAGGUACGAAAGCGUGGGUAGCGAACGGGAUUAGAUACCCCGGUAGUCCACGCCGUAAACGAUGCACACUAGGUCGUGGGAUCUCUCAUGAUUUCGCGGCCGAAGGUAAACUGAUUAGUGUGCCGCCUGGGGAGUACGGUCGCAAGGCUAAAACUCAAAGGAAUUGACGGGGGCUCACACAAGCGGUGGAGCAUGUUGCUUAAUUCGAGGCAACGCGAAGAACCUUACCUGGGCUUGACAUGUAUGGAUUAGCUUAUGGAAACAUAAGUGACGCCCUUGGGUGGAACAUACACAGGUGCUGCAUGGCUGUCGUCAGCUCGUGCUGUGAAGUGUCGGGUUAAGUCCCUUAACGAGCGCAACCCCUAUCGUUAGUUACUAACGCGUUAUGGCGAGGACUCUAGCGAGACUGCCGGUGUCAAACCAGAGGAAGGUGGGGAUGACGUCAAGUCCUCAUGGCCUUUAUGCCCGGGGAUGCAAACGUGCUACAAUGGUACGGACAAAGCGAUGCAAUACCGCGAGGUGGAGCAAAUCGCAAAACCGUGCCCCAGUUCGGAUAGCACGCUGAAAUUCGCCUGCUUGAAGCCGGAAUCGCUAGUAAUCGCGUAUCAGCUACGACGCGGUGAAUACGUUCCUGAGCCUUGUACACACCGCCCGUCACGUCAUGGAAGCUGCUAGUG
rnacentral:rRNA from 1 species